AAGUCGUAACAAGGUUUCCGUAGGUGAACCUGCGGAAGGAUCAUUACAGUAUUCUUUUUGCCAGCGCUUAAUUGCGCGGCGAAAAAACCUUACACACAGUGUUUUUUGUUAUUACAAGAACUUUUGCUUUGGUCUGUCUCUAGAAAUAGAGUUGGGCCAGAGGUUUAACUAAACUUCAAUUUUAUAUUGAAUUGUUUUUUAAUUAAUUGUCAAUUUGUUGAUUAAAUUCAAAAAAUCUUCAAAACUUUCAACAACGGAUCUCUUGGUUCUC
rnacentral:misc_RNA from 1 species